GGAGAGUUAGGUUGCUCUUUCUAGCCUAUAAAUCUAUCACAAGUCAGCAGAAGAGAAAUUUCACCAGACCCAGACUAGAUGGGCACUUUGAUCUCAGACUUCUAUGAUACAGAUGGUAUGACAGACAGAUCCAUGGAAUUCUUUGUCUGGUUGAAGAAGCACCUAAUUUGCAGCCAGGGACAAAACUACAUGUGGCUGAAAUCUAAAUUAGAACACUGCUACUGCUGAAUUCUGGAACAGUUGGUUUCCAACCACCUUCCAAGCAUUCAUUUCAUUCCCUUCUGAUGCUGAUGCUCACAAUAUGUGUCUGUGUGCUGUGUCAAAGAAGUCAAACCUAAGCACUUGUAAGGAAGGACUCCAAAAAAGGAGAUAUUAAACUAUUUGACCUAAAAGUAACCAGAAAUGCUCAGGAAAUUGAAAAAUUGGAAUGUAAGGAAGUGAGUUGGGAGGCUAAAAAGAAGCAAAUGAAAGUUUAAGUAGCAAUGUGAAAAUGAAGCAAUUAUUUACUGUAGAAAAAAUAUAAAACCACAAGUAGUAUAAUACAGAAAGAAAACUUGGAACAUGUGACUUCAAAAGUCAUUUGUUUAAAAAACAAGUAAAUUGAUAUUUACUAAAUA